GAUGAACGCUAGCGACAGGCCUAACACAUGCAAGUCGAGGGGCAGCAUAAAGGUAGCAAUACUUUGGUGGCGACCGGCGCACGGGUGAGUAACACGUAUGCAACCUGCCUGUAAGAGGGGAAUAACCCGGAGAAAUUCGGACUAAUACCGCAUAAUACCACGAAUUCGCAUGGAUUUGUGUUUAAACAUUUAUGGCUUACAGAUGGGCAUGCGUAUGAUUAGCUAGUAGGUGAGGUAACGGCUCACCUAGGCAACGAUCAUUAGGGGUUCUGAGAGGAAGGUCCCCCACACUGGUACUGAGACACGGACCAGACUCCUACGGGAGGCAGCAGUGAGGAAUAUUGGUCAAUGGGCGAGAGCCUGAACCAGCCAAGUCGCGUGAAGGAAGAAGGUUCUAUGGAUUGUAAACUUCUUUUGUAAGGGAAUAAAAAGAGUUACGUGUAACUUAUUGUAUGUACUUUACGAAUAAGGAUCGGCUAACUCCGUGCCAGCAGCCGCGGUAACAC
rnacentral:rRNA from 1 species